rnacentral:rRNA from 1 species
CCUACGGGGGGCUGCAGUGAGGAAUAUUGGUCAAUGGGCGGAAGCCUGAACCAGCCAAGUAGCGUGCAGGAUGACGGCCCUACGGGUUGUAAACUGCUUUUAUACGGGAAUAACGCGCCUUACGUGUAGGCCUUUGCAUGUACCGUAUGAAUAAGGACCGGCUAAUUCCGUGCCAGCAGCCGCGGUAAUACGGAAGGUCCGGGCGUUAUCCGGAUUUAUUGGGUUUAAAGGGAGCGUAGGCCGCAUGUCAAGCGUGCUGUGAAAUGUCCGGGCUCAACCCGGGCCUUGCAGCGCGAACUGGCGUGCUUGAGUCCGCGGAAAGCAGGCGGAAUUCGUGGUGUAGCGGUGAAAUGCUUAGAUAUGACGAAGAACUCCGAUUGCGAAGGCAGCUUGCCGGAGCGGAACUGACGCUGAGGCUCGAAAGCGCGGGUAUCGAACAGGAUUAGAUACCCUGGUAGUC